UACGAAGGGGGCUAGCGUUGUUCGGAAUCGCUGGGCGUAAAGGGCGCGUAGGCGGCUUUAUAAGUCGGGGGUGAAAGCCUGUGGCUCAACCACAGAAUUGCCUUCGAUACUGUAGAGCUUGAGACCGGAAGAGGUAAGUGGAACUGCGAGUGUAGAGGUGAAAUUCGUAGAUAUUCGCAAGAACACCAGUGGCGAAGGCGGCUUACUGGUCCGGUUCUGACGCUGAGGCGCGAAAGCGUGGGGAGCAAACAGG
rnacentral:rRNA from 1 species